CGCGUAGGCGGCUUUUUAAGUCGGGGGUGAAAGCCUGUGGCUCAACCACAGAAUUGCCUUCGAUACUGGAAAGCUUGAGACCGGAAGAGGACAGCGGAACUGCGAGUGUAGAGGUGAAAUUCGUAGAUAUUCGCAAGAACACCAGUGGCGAAGGCGGCUGUCUGGUCCGGUUCUGACGCUGAGGCGCGAAAGCGUGGGGAGCAAACAGGAUUAGAUACCCCUGUA
rnacentral:rRNA from 1 species